rnacentral:rRNA from 1 species
AGGACGAACGCUGGCGGCGUGCUUAACACAUGCAAGUCGAGCGGAAAGGCCCUUCGGGGUACUCGAGCGGCGAACGGGUGAGUAACACGUGAGCAACCUGCCCUUAGCCCUGGGAUAGCUCCGGGAAACCGGAAUUAAUACCGGAUACGACCUAGGCCGACAUCGGCCAUGGUGGAAAGUUUUUCGGCUAGGGAUGGACUCGCGGCCUAUCAGCUAGUUGGUGGGGUAAAGGCCUACCAAGGCGACGACGGGUAG